AUUGAACGCUGGCGGCAGGCCUAACACAUGCAAGUCGAACGGUAACAGGAAGCCGCUUUCUGCUUUGCUGACGAGUGGCGGACGGGUGAGUAAUGUCUGGGAAACUGCCUGAUGGAGGGGGAUAACUACUGGAAACGGUAGCUAAUACCGCAUAACGUCGCCAGCCCAAAGCGGGGGACCUUCGGGCCUCUUCCUAUCGACUGUGCCCAGAUGGGAUGAGAUGGUGGGUGGGGUAACGGCUCACCAAGGCGACGAUCCCUAGCUGGUCUGAGAGAAUGACCAGCAACACUGGAACUGAGACACGGUCCAGACUCCUACGGGAGGCAGCAGAGGGGAAUGUUGGAAAAUGGGCGCAAGCCGGAUGCAGCCAUGCCGGGUGUAUGAAAAAGGCCUCCGGGUUGUAAAGUACUUUCAGCGGGGAGGAAGGGAGUAAAGUUAAAACCUUCACUCAUUGACGUUACCCGCAGAAGAAGCAACGGCUAACUACGUG
rnacentral:rRNA from 1 species